AUGACCCGUCUAUGUAUCACCUCUGUUUCUAUUUAUCAUCUCCAUCUGCCUUUUAAACCUCAGAUUCAAUUGCUGAUUUAAGGUUACAACGAUUUGUGCUGUUUAAAAUAGGCCUGCAAGUUAGCGGGUUCUUAUUAACUUUCAAGAAAAUAUAAUACACAGCAGUUAACAACUCCCAGACGAAGCUAGAGAGCUCGAGAAAGAACUCAGGCAGAUAACAAAAGCAAAGAACGAAGCUGUUUGUGGCCAAGAUUUCGAAAGGUACUGUGCUUGUUCUUGUGAAUUUUAUAGAUGUGACAACUUGACCCAUUUACUUUU
rnacentral:lncRNA from 1 species